GAGGACAGUGAUGAAGUGUGAGGUCUGCCACAAGUGAAGACAGUGAUGAAGUGUGAGGUCUGCCACAAGUGAGGACAGUGAUGAAGUGUGAGGUCUGCCACAAGUGAGGACAGUGAUGAAGUGUGAGGUCUGCCACAAGUGAGGACAGUGAUGAAGUGUGAGGUCUGCCACAAGUGAAGACAG